rnacentral:rRNA from 1 species
GAUGAACGCUGGCGGCGUGCUUAACACAUGCAAGUCGAACGGGAAACAUUUUAUUGAAGCUUCGGCAGAUUUAGCUUGUUUCUAGUGGCGGACGGGUGAGUAACGCGUGGGUAACCUGCCUUAUACUGGGGGAUAACAGCCAGAAAUGACUGCUAAUACCGCAUAAGCGCACAGAACCGCAUGGUUCAGUGUGAAAAACUCCGGUGGUAUAAGAUGGACCCGCGUUGGAUUAGCUAGUUGGCAGGGCAACGGCCUACCAAGGCGACGAUCAGUAGCCGACCUGAGAGGGUGACCGGCCACAUUGGGACUGAGACACGGCCCAAACUCCUACGGGAGGCAGCAGUGGGGAAUAUUGCACAAUGGGGGAAACCCGUGAUGCAGCGACGCCGCGUGAGCGAAGAAGUAUUUCGGUAUGUAAAGCUCUAUCAGCAGGGAAGAAGAAAUGACGGUACCUGACUAGGAAGCACCGGCUAAAUACGUGCCAGCAGCCGCGGU